AUACGGAGGAUGCGAGCGUUAUCCGGAUUUAUUGGGUUUAAAGGGUGCGUAGGCGGGAUUUUAAGCGUGAGGUGAAAUGCCACGGCUCAACCGUGGAACUGCCUCGCGAACUGGGAUUCUUGAAUGCCCCUGCCGUGGGAGGAAUGUGUGGUGUAGCGGUGAAAUGCAUAGAGAUCACACAGAACACCGAUUGCGAAGGCAUCUCACGAAGGGGUGAUUGACGCUGAGGCACGAAAGCGUGGGGAUCAAACAGGAUUAGAUACCCUGGUAGUCCACGCAGUAAACGAUGAUAACUAACCGCUGGGGAGCGAUUUUCAGUGGCCAAGCGAAAGCGAUAAGUUAUCCACCUGGGGAGUACGACCGCAAGGUUGAAACUCAAAUGAAUUGACGGGG
rnacentral:rRNA from 1 species